GGCAGCCAGAGUGGCCACCACUGCUCUCUGCAGCAGAAGACCCCUUGCUGCCCAGCAUUUGCCAGAUGUUAAACAACAUUGGAGACAAUAUGGAGUCAUGAGACACACCAUAUGGAAGUUCAGCUUUUGUAGAGCAACUGUCUCAAAGGGACACCAUCUGGAAUAUGCCCAAGAGCUGUUACAAACUGUUUACACCUGUUUUGUUGUGUCCCAAACAAAACUGACACCCAAGGAAGCGAUCAGCAGGAUUCUUCCAAUCCAAAGCAGUUAAUGAACUCUCUUGUCUUACCGUUUUUCUGUUUAUGACAUUCCUCAGACUUCUCUCUUCCUGCUUUCCAAGGGUCUAUUUGCCUCUUUAUGGAAACUCUCAAUUCCCUUAACAAACUAAUUGUUAUAAUUAAAGCCAACUGUUUCUAUGUAAAUUUAAUUAA